rnacentral:rRNA from 1 species
UACGGAGGGGCGAGCGUUAUUCGGAAUUAUUGGGCGUAAAGGGCGCGUAGGCGGCCCGGUAAGUCAAAGGUGAAAUCCCUCGGCUCAACUGAGGAACUGCCUUUGAAACUGUCGGGCUUGAGGCCGGGAGGGGUAGCGGAAUUCCUGGUGUAGCGGUGAAAUGCGCAGAUAUCAGGAAGAACACCUAUGGCGAAGGCAGCUCUCUGGGACGGUACUGACGCUAG